GAAAAGAAACCAACAGGGAUUGCCUCAGUAACGGCGAGUGAAGCGGCAAAAGCUCAAAUUUUAAAGCUGGCACCUCCGGUGUCCGCGUUGUAAUUUUGUGAGGCAUCUCCGGGUGGGGCGCCGGCCUAAGUUCCUUGGAACAGGACGUCAUAGAGGGUGAGAAUCCCGUGCUUGGCUGGCUGUCCCCGUCCAUGUGAGGUGUCUUCGACGAGUCGAGUUGUUUGGGAAUGCAGCUCAAAAUGGGUGGUAAAUUUCAUCUAAAGCUAAAUAUUGGUGGGAGACCGAUAGCGCACAAGUAGAGUGAUCGAAAGAUGAAAAGCACUUUGAAAAUAGAGUUAAAAAGUACGUGAAAUUGUUGAAAGGGAAGCGCUUGAGACCAGACUUCGGUGGGGAGUGAUCAGCCGUCCUUCUGGGCGGUGCACUUGCCCCCCUCCGGGCCAGCAUCGGUUGGGACGGCGGGAUAAAGGUCCCGGGAAUGUGGCUCCUCUCGGGGAGUGUUAUAGCCCGGGUGAAUGCCGCCAGCCCCGACCGAGGACCGCGCCUUCGGGCUAGGAUGCUUGGCAUAAUGGUCUUCAGCGACCC
rnacentral:rRNA from 1 species